rnacentral:rRNA from 1 species
GACGAACGCUGGCGGCGUGCUUAACACAUGCAAGUCGAACGGAAAGGCCCUGCUUUUGUGGGGUGCUCGAGUGGCGAACGGGUGAGUAACACGUGAGUAACCUGCCCUUGCCUUUGGGAUAACUUCAGGAAACUGGGGCUAAUACCGGAUAGGAGCUCCUGCUGCAUGGUGGGGGUUGGAAAGUUUCGGCGGUUGGGGAUGGACUCGCGGCUUAUCAGCUUGUUGGUGGGGUAGUGGCUUACCAAGGCUUUGACGGGUAGCCUGCCUGAGAGGGUGACCGGCCACAUUGGGAUUGAGGUACGGCCCAGACUCCUACGGGAGGCAGCAGUGGAGAAUAGUGCACAAUGGGCGGAAGCCUGAUGCAGCAACGCCGCGUGCGGGAUGACGGCCUUCGGGUUGUAAACCGCUUUCGCCUGUGACGAAGCGUGAGUGACGGUAAUGGGUAAAGAAGCACCGGCUAACUACGUG